rnacentral:rRNA from 1 species
GACGAACCGUGCAAACGUUGUUCGGAAUCACUGGGCUUAAAGGGCGCGUAGGCGGGCCAGCCAGUCUGUGGUGAAAGCCUCCAGCUUAACUGGAGAAGUGCCGUGGAUACUGCUGGCCUCGAGGAGGAUAGGGGCAUCUGGAACGGUCGGUGGAGCGGUGAAAUGCGUUGAUAUCGACCGGAACUCCGGUGGCGAAGGCGAGGUGCUGGGUCCUUUCUGACGCUGAUGCGCGAAAGCGUGGGGAGCGAUCCGG